rnacentral:rRNA from 1 species
CCUACGGGUGGCAGCAGUGAGGAAUAUUGGUCAAUGGACGAGAGUCUGAACCAGCCAAGUAGCGUGAAGGAUGACUGCCCUAUGGGUUGUAAACUUCUUUUAUAUGGGAAUAAAACAGGGUACGCAUCCCCUCUCGUAUGUACCAUAUGAAUAAGGAUCGGCAAACUCCGUGCCAGCAGCCGCGGUAAUACGGAGGAUGAGAGCGUUAGCCGGAUUUAUUGGGGUUAAAGGGUGCGCAGGCGGAAGCGAAAGUCAGCGGUAAAAUUGUGAGGCUCAACCUCUUCCCGCCGUUGAAACUGCGUUUCUUGAGUGGGCGAGAAGUACGCGGAAUGCGUGGUGUAGCGGUGAAAUGCAUAGAUAUCACGCAGAACUCCGAUUGCGAAGGCAGCGUACCGGCGCCCAACUGACGCUCAUGCACGAAAGCGUGGGUAUCGAACAGGAUUAGAUACCCCUGUAGUC